GGGGGUAUAGCAUAAUGGUAAUGCCGCUUGCCCAUUACAAGACUAAUCCGGGUUCAAAUCCUGGUGCCCCUACCA
rnacentral:tRNA from 1 species